ACCAACAUUUUAUCCUCUUUUCUCCAUCAAACCCUAGCAGAACCAGAGGCAAGAUAAGAUGGGUCUCUUAUUACGUGCGCCACUAUCAGUUGAAGCUGCCAGCAUGAUCUUAACCUCCCUCUUUUGAUGAGGAAAGAUCAGAUCAUGCGGUAGUUUCACCUGUUGUUGGCCGCACGGCAAACCCUAAUUAAUCCCUCACAAACCCUAUUUCCCAUUUCUUUGUUUAAUCACAUGCCCAUUAGGGUUUCCUUGAUCAAUCCCUAUAAAAGGUGGAAAAAAUAUAGCGAGGGAGAGAUCGAGGGAGAGACAGCUUGGGAUGAAGCGAAUAUAUAUAUCUGAUACAGAUGACUUAGCAAUGGGAUAUAGUACAUAAAUUUGUAUAAGCUGAGGUUUAUUCUCAGUUCAGAAUCUAUCUAGUUUAUUCCUUAUGGAUGUUAUUCUUUUGUUUGGCUUUAGGUAAUUUAGAUGAUGACAUAACUGUACUGUGCCUCUUGUAUUUCCUUCAAGCCUGAUGGAGUAAAAGAUUUAAGUAUAAGAAGAUGAUGAUAGUGGUUUUAAUGAAUAAACCUUUCACUCC